GAGGCGGCCGUAGCGCCAUUUUGUGGGAGCGAAGCGGUAGCUGGGUUGCUCUCCGGGCCUUCGCCGUUUCAGUCACCCCGUCGGGCUUCCUAGCAGCUGCCUAGCGGAAGAACAAGAAAAGAUGUCUGAAUAUAUUCGAGUAACGGAAGAUGAGAAUGAUGAGCCUAUUGAAAUACCAUCAGAAGAUGAUGGGACAGUGCUGCUGUCCACAGUUACAGCCCAGUUUCCGGGGGCAUGUGGUCUGCGCUACAGGAAUCCAGUGUCUCAGUGUAUGAGAGGCGUCCGGCUAGUAGAAGGAAUUCUGCAUGCACCUGAUGCCGGCUGGGGAAAUCUGGUGUACGUUGUCAACUAUCCCAAAGAUAACAAAAGAAAAAUGGAUGAAACUGAUGCUUCAUCAGCGGUGAAGGUGAAAAGAGCAGUCCAGAAAACAUCCGAUUUAAUAGUGUUGGGCCUUCCAUGGAAAACAACUGAACAGGAUCUAAAAGAAUAUUUUAGUACCUUUGGAGAAGUUCUUAUGGUGCAGGUCAAGAAAGAUAUUAAAACUGGUCAUUCAAAAGGGUUUGGCUUUGUUCGUUUUACGGAAUACGAAACCCAGGUGAAGGUAAUGUCACAGCGACAUAUGAUAGAUGGACGAUGGUGUGACUGUAAACUUCCUAAUUCUAAGCAAAGCCCAGAUGAGCCUUUGAGAAGCAGGAAGGUGUUCGUUGGGCGUUGUACAGAGGACAUGACUGCUGAUGAGUUGCAGCAGUUCUUUUGCCAGUAUGGAGAAGUGGUAGAUGUCUUCAUCCCCAAACCAUUCAGGGCUUUUGCCUUUGUUACAUUUGCAGAUGAUCAGGUUGCCCAGUCUCUUUGUGGAGAGGACUUGAUCAUUAAAGGAAUCAGCGUACAUAUAUCCAAUGCUGAACCUAAGCACAAUAGCAAUAGACAGUUAGAAAGAAGUGGAAGAUUUGGUGGUAAUCCAGGUGGCUUUGGGAAUCAGGGUGGAUUUGGUAACAGUAGGGGGGGUGGAGCUGGGUUGGGGAACAAUCAAAGUAGUAACAUGGGCGGAGGGAUGAACUUUGGCGCUUUCAGCAUUAAUCCAGCGAUGAUGGCUGCAGCCCAGGCAGCGUUGCAGAGCAGCUGGGGUAUGAUGGGGAUGUUAGCCAGCCAGCAGAACCAGUCAGGCCCGUCAGGGAAUAACCAAAGCCAAGGCAACAUGCAGAGGGAGCCAAAUCAGGCCUUUGGUUCUGGAAAUAACUCUUACAGUGGCUCUAAUUCUGGUGCAGCAAUUGGUUGGGGAUCAGCAUCAAAUGCAGGGUCAGGCAGUGGUUUUAAUGGAGGCUUUGGCUCAAGCAUGGAUUCCAAAUCUUCUGGCUGGGGAAUGUAGACAGUGGGUUGUGGUUAGUUGGUAUAGACUGGUGGGAAUAAAAAAUUUUCUAAACUCAUGGUAAGUAUAUUGUAAAAUACAUAUGUACUAAAAUUUUUCAGAAUUGGUUUGUUCAGUGUGGAGUAUAUUCAGCAGUAUUUUUGACAUUUUUCUUUAGAAAAAGGAAGAACUAAAGGAAUUUUAUAAGUUUUGUUACCUAAAGGGUUGAAAUAUUGAGUGGUUGAAAGUGACCUGCUGUUUGCCUGUUUGGUGAACCAACACUACAAUUGAUAUCAAAAGGUUUCUUCUGUAAUAUUUUAUCUCUGGACUUUUCAAGUGAAUUCUUUGCAUGUUCCAAAUGGAAACCAUUGAGUAGAACUACAUUACUUUCUCCUUGUUUUAAUUUGAACCCCACCAUAUGGAUUUUUCCUUAGGAAAAUCUCCUUUUUGGAGAUUAUGGUGUCACAAUGUUCGGUUCUUUUGUUUUUGUUUUUUAACACUUGUCUCCCCUCAUAUACAAAAGUACAAUAUGAAGCCUUCAUUUAAUCUCUGCAGUUCAUCUCAUUUCAAAUGUUUAUGGAAGAAGCACUUCACUGAAAGUAGUGCUGUAAAUAUUCUGCCAUAGGAAUACUUCUGUCUACAUGCUUUCUCAUUCAAGAAUUCGUCAUCACUCUGCACAGGCUGCGUCUUUGACGUUUUUAAUAAGUCUGGGUGACCGCACUUAAAAUGCACUUGCACUAUUACUCAGCAGCAGUAACAUGGUAACACUUAAAAUGGUAUUCGGGGACCUCCAAAGACUAAACUGACAAGCCUUCAAGGAACCCAGGGGUAAGUUAACUUGUCAAUAGCAUGGUUUUAAUCCCUUAUUUACAUUUAUGUAAAUCUGAUUUCCGGGUUGUAGGCGGCUCCCAAUGUUGGGUAGCGUUUUCUUAACAUGUUUAUGGCACUACCUGGCUUUGGGUAUUUAUUCUGCCCUUAAAAAGAUUGAAGUUUAGAAGUACUUAAACUAUUUGGCACAGAAUUGUUUUAAAGUCUAUUUGGUCAUCUAAAAUGCAUUCUAAAAUUUUUUUGAACCAGCUGAAUAAAAAUUAUUGUUGCCACUACAGUUUAGUGUCUGGAGUCUUACUGGAAAAACACAAUUUCUUUUUUACGUUACAAGAAUGCUGGAAAGUUACCUUUCAAAAGUGACUCGCAAAAAAUUUGUGCUUAAUAGGCACAGGAGAAAUUAGGCUGUAUCAUGGUAACUAUUUAGCAAGACUGAAAAACUUCAUUAAAUGUUAACUAUUAAAACUUUUUAGGUAGGGAUGAAUGACUAAAAUGAAAUUCAAUAAUUAAGACUAAGUCAGCUUAAAUUUUGUCCUUAGUAGAAAAAAAAUAGGAAGUUACCAACUUGUUAAUUUAGAAGAUGCGAUAAUUAGAAUAAUUUUAUUUUGUUGAGUACCAAAAGAGUAUCCCUUAACUUGUAUAUUACAGUACUUCACUGAGCUAUUGUAUGAUCUGUGAUCUGUUUGGCUUAAGUGUGCCCAGAUAUUUCAUGUUCACUGAAAAAGGUGUUUUAUCUAUAAUACUACCACUAAUUUCUAAUACUGUUUCAUCUUAAGAAUAUGCCACGUUGAUUCGACCCGUCUUCUGCACAUCAUUUAGGUUAUUUCCAAUUACUAGGAAGAGCCUUAGAGCUAAAUUAAAUUCAUAGCAUUGGAAUUACAAGGUCAAAGAUUGCAUGUUUUUAAGGCUUUGAAAUGUAUUGCCACAUUGUCCUUUAGAAAGUGUGUAUCAUCUCUGACAGUGUAAAAUAGUAGUAAUCCAUGUUCUUUUUUUUUGUCUGCCAAUUUGAUAACCGAAAAAUUUUAUUUGUUUUGUGGUAUUGGUUUUUAACAUGGAAAUCAGUAAAUACCCGGGCUAAGUUAUUAAUGUUUCCAGUUUGUUUAUUUUUAAAAAUGAUUCAAGAUUGCAUGCUACAGCACGUAAAGUGCUUUUAACAGAUCAGUAAGUCCAAAAACAUAGAAAAACAGGCAAAACACAUGAAUAGGCAAUUUAUAGAAAUGCAGACAACCAGUAUGAAAAGAUUCCAGAUUUUUUAAGUAAUGUAAAUGCAAAUUCAAGCAAUGAGGUUUUUUGGAUUGACAAAAAUGGAUAUCACCAUAAUGGCUUAUGUUCCCUUGAAUCAAAGAGAAAGAGGUGGAAUUAAACUGGCAAGCUGAGAAGUGUCUGUAAUAGCAGUUUCACCUGUAGUUUGGUAUCGUGUUUUGGGUGGAGUGACAGCGGAUGCUAAGAUCUUUUACAGGUAUUUUUAAAAAUAAGGAACCACUUACUGAUUGAAGACAUUCAAAAAGUAUUUAUUAUGUUCUUGAUCCAGGGAAUAUAGUUAAUAACUUUUGUGUAGACUCCAUACUCUUCUGCUUUCCCACAAUUAAUGGAACCCCAGGAUAUUAUGCCUCCCACAAACCACCUCUGUGUUUGAUUAUCUAGAAACACUAAUGCCCCUCCACUGUCACCUUUACAGCUGUCCUUACCCCCAAUUUCUAAGCCAGCACAUAGCAUGUUAUCAGUUACCCUUGCCCCUGGAUAGGGCUGCUUUUCAUAUGCUGCAGUACAUUUUUGGUGGUCAACAAUUGGUAGCUCCACAAACAUUAGACUUCUGGCAAGAAAACCCCUUUUGGUUAAUCCCCAUCCAGAUGCAAUUCCAAUGUCAUUUGUCCUCAUGAAGAAUUCUGCUUCUUUUCUUGGCAGACAAAUAGGCCUGGUGUUGCUAUUGAUUUCAACUCUGUUCUUCAAUUUAAUCAGUGCUAUGUCAUUGUCGAAACCAGCAUCAUGAGUGUAACCUUCGUGUAUAAAAACAGCCUCUGCCCAGGCUCGAGUAAAAUGAGGCGACAGUCUCUUGAGGGCACCCAUUCUAAUGUCCAAGGAGGACACAUCGUCUUUUUGCUCAUAUAUAGCAUGAGCAGCUGUUAGGAUCCAGUUAUCAUAUAAAAGUGCACCUGCUGCUGUACUUUGACCUAAUAACAGAACUUGCCAAGGAAAAUCACCAGGCUUUGCAAUUUGCCCUCCAUAUAUACGACUUGUUGUAGUACGGUUUGAUAUGCCACAAACUGUGGAAAAAGAAGCAGAUACGUUGAAUACUUUGUAGAUGCCCAGUGGUGUUUGUCUCAAGUCACUUUAAAGUUGUAAUAUAUAUUUAGUGUCAGCAAAAAAUUAGACAAUGUGAAUUGGUGGAUGUCCCUAUAAUAGGCAGUGGUGCUGUUUUAAAACAGCACAGUUCAGAGAAAUCAUAAAACUUUGUCAUGCCUAAGCUCCUCAGAAAAUGACAUGAGUGAAAAUUAACUUUAAAGAUGCUGUUUUGUUUUGCUAAAAGAAUUUGAUCUACAAGAUUGGGAAAACUAGCAGGGCAAACAGGAAUUGUCUGAGCUGAAAGACCUGUGAUGUGCAUAAGAAGUGAAUGGAAAUAGCCUUUUUGUUGCUUCUGUUUUCCUGUUUGUAAAAUGAACUGCUUACCAUGUAAUUCUGGUAAAGCAGGCAGUAAGAUCAUUGGAUUUGCAAAAUUAUUUUCAUCUUUGAACAUUUAAAUAUUUUUAAAAAUGAGAAUGUUGCAGUUCCAGCCAGGGCCCUUCAGGUUCUGCCGAAAUUAUUAUUUUUGGCCUCGUUCAUUCUUCCCAACACUAAAUUUUUCUGUAUCUUUAUUGUUAAUGUGCUUAUUUAGCAUAGCGUAUGUUUCCUAUUGUGCCAGAAUAUACUUGUAUUAAAACUUAAAAGAUUUGUGAGCUAGGAUACAGGGUUUAAGAAAGAAGUAAUUUAAACCAAAGAACACAGGGGUAAUGAAUAUAUGAUUACCUUUCUGGUGGUAGUUUUUUUGUUUUUUUUUUCCCCCUUUUUAAAUCACUACUCAAAUCAUCAGAGCCAAUUCUGGUAAAAAUUUUAAAGUACUAUUAAAAGGCAAAUUGCAUUAAUGUUUAAAAACUGGAGUCAUUGAAAACAAUUGCUUAGGGAAAUAAUCAAGUUAUUAGCUUUGGGUUUUAAUAGCAUUUUUACAGAGAAGAAAAGUAACUCAACAGAAGAACUCAUGUUAUAAAUGUAUAAACGGGUUAAGAUAAUUUAAAAAUUCAUUUAAUUUUUUAUGCUUGCCUAGUUAUAAGGUCAAAACUAAUCAAAUGACUGAUGUAGUCAGCAUCUAAAAACCUCUCCGUAUGGAAAGGGGAUAAUGAGAACAUAUUAUUUGGGAAUAAUAACUUGGUCUGAGAGCCAAGUGCUGAAGUUCCAUUUCUGCCUACCACAGCUAAAGCUCUACUUACUGUCUACUACCCAGUUCUACCUUCCAUCAAUUACGAAUCUCUUGUAUAAAUGUAUCCAUUACCAGGCUCACAGACUGGGAGUGAUUUUUCUCCUUUGGAGCUCGUCCAGAAUCCAUCAGCGUCACACACAUAUUUACCUGCAAAUCAUUGGAAAAGCAGAAAUGUUUACCUGCAUGUGUAAGGUGGUUGUCAUUUGCUUGAAUAUCCUGUUGAAAAUGUUGAUUCUUGAGCAUCAGUGCGAAAUAGGUGUCUGAAUAACCAUUUUACAUGAUUUCAUAAAUAGGAGGUCUCUGCAUUACCAUGUUUGCUUGCAAAGUGGAAACCUUUUAGAUGUGUAACGUGAAUAUGUAUCAAGUUCUCAAGUGCUUAAUGAUAAGGUUUUUGACUUGUUAAAUUAAACCAUUUGGAAUAUAUUG